rnacentral:rRNA from 1 species
UACGUAGGGACCGAGCGUUGUCCGGAAUCAUUGGGCGUAAAGAGCGUGUAGGCGGCCACUUAAGUCCUGCGUGAAAUCUUGCGGCUCAACCGCAAGCGGUCGUGGGAAACUGGGUGGCUAGAGUGCGGGAGAGGAGAGUGGAAUUCCUGGUGUAGCGGUGGAAUGCGCAGAUAUCAGGAAGAACACGCGUGGCGAAGGCGGCUCUCUGGAACGCAACUGACGCUGAGACGCGAAAGCGUGGGGAGCAAACAGG